rnacentral:tRNA from 1 species
GGCGGACGUGGCCAAGUGGAUUAAGGCAGUGGAUUGUGAAC